UGCAAGUCGAGCGAGCGGAACCAACAGAUUUACUUCGGUAAUGACGUUGGGAAAGCGAGCGGCGGAUGGGUGAGUAACACGUGGGGAACCUGCCCCUAAGUCUGGGAUACCAUUUGGAAACAGGUGCUAAUACCGGAUAAUAAAGCAGAUCGCAUGAUCAGCUUUUGAAAGGCGGCGUAAGCUGUCGCUAAGGGAUGGCCCCGCGGUGCAUUAGCUAGUUGGUAAGGUAACGGCUUACCAAGGCGACGAUGCAUAGCCGAGUUGAGAGACUGAUCGGCCACAUUGGGACUGAGACACGGCCCAAACUCCUACGGGAGGCAGCAGUAGGGAAUCUUCCACAAUGGACGCAAGUCUGAUGGAGCAACGCCGCGUGAGUGAAGAAGGUUUUCGGAUCGUAAAGCUCUGUUGUUGGUGAAGAAGGAUAGAGGUAGUAACUGGCCUUUAUUUGACGGUAAUCAACCAGAAAGUCACGGCUAACUAC
rnacentral:rRNA from 1 species